CAGACUGUUGAGUGUCCAAGAGAUGCCUCCUUGGUGCCUGGGACAGUGUCUGAUACAAGAAUGAGGUCAGAAUGGAAGUAAAUUUGUUGCGGGAAGACCCCUUCCAGGGCCUGAGAGUGGACUCUUGUCGAACACUCGGAAAUGAAUUGCCCAAGGAGACACACGUGCUGACAAAGCAGGAGACUUUAUUGGGAAGGGGCGCCUGGGCGGAGAGCAGGAAGGACAUCCACUCAUCCGCUGAGAAUUGAAGAACGGCUUGAUGUUGGGAAACAUGCCAGGAGCCCCAGCGUGGGUUUAAACUGGCUCACUCUGCUGUGUGCAGGGUGAAGGGGGGUUGGGAGGAGUCAGGAGGACCAGGCAGGAGGCGCGUCCUGGAGCAGGACUUAAACCCCAACAAAUGGAAGAUGUUAACUACCUGAUGAAGCAUUCUUCAUUCCAGAGAGAAGGUCACAGUUUGAUAAACUCAAGAACCACAGAAACACAUCAGGAGACCACCUGAGGCCAGGUUAAAGGAGUGCAGGCCCUGCACACACCCUGUUCUUUAUCAGCAACCCCUCCCCUGAACCAUUGCUAUAAAACUCAUCAAAUCCCCCUAGGCUUGGGACACACAGAAGGCAUGAGCCCGCCGUGUCCCCCCCCCUUUGCCCGGCAAGGCUGUAAAGCUAUUCUUUUCUACUUCACCUGAA